rnacentral:piRNA from 1 species
UAUCCAAUUGUUUUGUAUUUC